rfam:Struthio camelus australis contig9079, whole genome shotgun sequence.
CCCACGGCUCUUUUCAGAGCCACCCACCCUCUCCUAGCAGAGCUG